AUUGAACGCUGGCGGCAGGCUUAACACAUGCAAGUCGAACGAGUGGCGGACGGGUGAGUAAUGCUUGGGAAUCUACCUGAUGGAGGGGGAUAACUACUGGCAACUGUAGCUAAUACCGCGUACCAUAGGAUGUGCCCAAGUGGGAUUAGCUGGUAGGUAAGGUAACGGCUUACCUAGGCGACGAUCCCUCGCUGGUCUGAGAGGAUGAUCAGGCACACUGGGAAUGAGACCAGGCCCAGACUCCGACGGGGUGCAGCAGUGGGGAAAAAUGCAAAAUGGGGGCAAGCCUGAUGCAGCCAUGCCGCGGUGAAGAAGAAGGCCUUCGGGUUGUAAAGGUCUUUCAGGCGGGAGGCGUUACCGACAGAAGAAGCACCGGCUAACUCCGUGCCAGCAGCCGCGGUAAUUC
rnacentral:rRNA from 1 species